GACGAACGCUGGCGGCGUGCUUAACACAUGCAGGUCGAGCGGUAAGGCCCUUUCGGGGGUACACGAGCGGCGAACGGGUGAGUAACACGUGGGUGACCUGCCCUCAGCUCUGGGAUAAGCCUGGGAAACUGGGUCUAAUACUGGAUAUGACUCCACGGUGCAUGUCGUGGGGUGGAAAGCCUUGUGCGGCUGAGGAUGGGCCCGCGGCCUAUCAGCUUGUUGGUGGGGUGANGGCCUACCAAGGCGACGACGGGUAGCCGGCCUGAGAGGGCGACCGGCCACACUGGGACUGAGACACGGCCCAGACUCCUACGGGAGGCAGCAGUGGGGAAUCUUGCGCAAUGGGCGAAAGCCUGACGCAGCGACGCCGCGUGAGGGAUGACGGCCU
rnacentral:rRNA from 1 species